rnacentral:rRNA from 1 species
AUUGAACGCUGGCGGCAGGCCUAACACAUGCAAGUCGAGCGGAGCGGCGGACGGGUGAGUAAUGCCUAUGUAUCUGCCUGGUAGUGGGGGAUAACGUCCGGAAACGGGCGCUAAUACCGCCUCCUCUCAGAUGAGUCUAGGUGGGAUUAGCUAGUUGGUGGGGUAAAGGCCUACCAAGGCGACGAUCCGUAACUGGUCUGAGAGGAUGAUCAGCCACACUGGGACUGAGACACGGCCCAGACUCCUACGGGAGGCAGCAGUAGGGAAUAUUGGGCAAUGGACGAAAGUCUGACCGAGCCACGCCGCGUGAGUGAAGAAGGUUUUAGGAUCGUAAAGCUCUGUUGUUAGAGAAGCGGUACCGAACCAGAAAGCCACGGCUAACUACGUGCCAGCAGCCGCGGUAAUAC